AACAGAAUCCGCCAUCCUCCCCGGUGGGCACAGACACCACGACUAAACAUCAUCAUCGUGCCUGGCAGCAACGGCCACUCGAGAGAUCAUCGACAGGAUCUGGAGGCAGCCGCCCUCUCCCGACAGACGCGAUGACAGGAGCUGGAGGCCGAAGCGAGGGGUGGCGGCCCUGGCACUUGGUCCCUCUCCUUACAUUGUAUUUUACUUAGCUUUUUUUUUAUCUCUU
rnacentral:lncRNA from 1 species